AACGCCACCGGAUCGACACCCCGGGUCACCACCAGGUAGUCGCGCAGCGCCACGCUGUGGCGGCCCUC
rnacentral:sRNA from 1 species